CUGGGACUUCCCUGCCCCUUACUGCUAACAGCUAUACGUGUGCUGGCAGGUAGGUAGGUUAGGUUUUUUUUUUUUUUAAAAGACAUAGAACAGGUUCAUGUGGUCUUAGGUCACGUCCUCGAGGACAUCAGUGGCCCUCAGAUUCAGCAGCUCGGUUAGGUACAUGCAAGUAGUACGAAGUAACUUUAACACUGAGUAAAACAUGC